rnacentral:rRNA from 1 species
CCUGCUCAAUGAAAAAUUUAAAUAGCCGCUUUAUUAAGUGCUAAGGUAGCAUAAUCAUUUGUCUUUUAAUUUAAGAAUAGAAUGAAAGGGAGAACGAGUAAACACUUUUAUUUAUUUUAAUAAAUUAAAUUUAUUUAAAAGUAAAAAAGCUUUUAUAAGAAAAAAAGACGACAAGACCCUAUAGAACUUAACUAAAAGUUAAACUGGGGUGGUUAAUUAUUAAAACUAAUUACUAUUUUACAAAAAACUUAUUAAAUAAAAUAAAAAGUUACCUUAGGGAUAACAGCAUAAUUUAAUUUUAAAGCUCUUAUAUAUAGUUAAGAUUAUGACCUCGAUGUUGAAUUACUAAACUAAAAAUAGAAAAUUAUUUUUAAGUAAGUCUGUUCGACUUUUAAAAAAGUACAU